UACAGAGGGUGCAAGCGUUGUUCGGAAUUACUGGGCGUAAAGAGCGUGUAGGCGGUUCGUUAAGUCCGCUGUGAAAUCUCUGGGCUCAACUCAGGGUAGUCGGUGGAAACUAGCGAACUUGAGGACGGUAGAGGGGGGUGGAAUUCCCGGUGUAGUGGUGAAAUGCGUAGAGAUCGGGAGGAACACCAGCGGCGAAGGCGGCCCCCUGGGCCGCUCCUGACGCUGAGACGCGAAGGCCAGGGUAGCGAACGGG
rnacentral:rRNA from 1 species